rnacentral:rRNA from 1 species
UAGAGUUUGAUCAUGGCUCAGAUUGAACGCUGGCGGCAGGCUUAACACAUGCAAGUCGAGCGGUAGCACAGGGGAGCUUGCUCCCCGGGUGACGAGCGGCGGACGGGUGAGUAAUGUCUGGGAAACUGCCUGAUGGAGGGGGAUAACUACUGGAAACGGUAGCUAAUACCGCAUAACGUCGCAAGACCAAAGAGGGGGACCUUCGGGCCUCUUGCCAUCAGAUGUGCCCAGAUGGGAUUAGCUAGUAGGUGGGGUAAUGGCUCACCUAGGCGACGAUCCCUAGCUGGUCUGAGAGGAUGACCAGCCACACUGGAACUGAGACACGGUCCAGACUCCUACGGGAGGCAGCAGUGGGGAAUAUUGCACAAUGGGCGCAAGCCUGAUGCAGCCAUGCCGCGUGUGUGAAGAAGGCCUUCGGGUUGUAAAGCACUUUCAGCGAGGAGGAAGGUGGUGAGCUUAAUACGUUCAUCAAUUGACGUUACUCGCAGAAGAAGCACCGGCUAACUCCGUGCCAGCAGCCGCGGUAAUACGGAGGGUGCAAGCGUUAAUCGGAAUUACUGGGCGUAAAGCGCACGCAGGCGGUUUGUUAAGUCAGAUGUGAAAUCCCCGGGCUCAACCUGGGAACUGCAUUUGAAACUGGCAAGCUAGAGUCUCGUAGAGGGGGGUAGAAUUCCAGGUGUAGCGGUGAAAUGCGUAGAGAUCUGGAGGAAUACCGGUGGCGAAGGCGGCCCCCUGGACGAAGACUGACGCUCAGGUGCGAAAGC